UACAGAGGUCUCAAGCGUUGUCCGGAUUCAUUGGGCGUAAAGGGUGCGUAGGUGGCGCUGUAAGUCGGGUGUGAAAUUUCGGAGCUUAACUCCGAAACUGCAUUCGAUACUGCGGUGCUUGAGGACUGGAGAGGAGACUGGAAUUCAUGGUGUAGCAGUGAAAUGCGUAGAGAUCAUGAGGAAGACCAGUGGCGAAGGCGGGUCUCUGGACAGUUCCUGACACUGAGGCACGAAGGCCAGGGGAGCAAACGGG
rnacentral:rRNA from 1 species